ACGAACGUGGCGGCGUGCUUAAUACAUGCAAGUAGAACGCACAGAUGCACCGUAGUUUACACCGUAUUCUGUGAGUUCGAACGGUAGUAACGGGUAGGUAACCUGCCUGGUAGCGGGGGAUAACUAUUGGAAUCGAUAGCUAAUACCGCAUAAGAACAUUUACUGCAGGUAGAUGUUUAAAAGGUGCAAAUGCAUCACUACCAGAUGGACCUGCGUUGUAUUAGCUAGUAGGUAGGUAACGGCUCACCUAGGCGACGAUACAUAGCCGACCUGAGAGGGUGAUCGGCCACACUGGGAUGAGACACGGCCCAGACUCCUACGGGAGGCAGCAGUAGGGAAUCUUCGGCAAUGGGGGGAACCCUGACCGAGCAACGCCGCGGAGUGAAGAAGGUUUUCGGAUCGUAAAGCUCUGUUGUUAAGGAAGAACGAGUGUGAGAAUGGAAAGUUCAUACUGUGACGGUACUUAACCAGAAAGGGACGGCUAACUA
rnacentral:rRNA from 1 species